UUAUUUUCAUGAUUGGGACAAUUGUACACCUGGAUUCAUUUACAAACAAUUGUCUUUUUCUAAAUGUUACAGCUUUUUAAAAUGUGAGGAAGAAAAACUUAAGGAGGGAGACCCACGUGGAGGAAACUGCAUUUUUCUCUACAGCAUAAUUCAGGAAUACACUGGAUUAGAGGCCAAAGUGAUGAUGUGGAAGGAACUAAAAGCACUGCUAUUGCAUAGCGACCUGGUGAAAUGGUUUUCUUCACAGGAAAAAAGCCAAUUCAGUACUAAAAUGCUACCCAAGAUUGACGGCAAAUACAAAGAGGAAGUCUGCUUAUGCAAAGAAGCGAGACAAGCUUUUGAAAAUAACAAUUAA
rnacentral:lncRNA from 1 species